rnacentral:rRNA from 1 species
UUGUUUCAAAAACAUUUUCUAAUUUUUAUUAGAUAUCUUCUGCUCAAUGAGUCUUAAAUAGCCGCAGUAAUUUGACUGUGCUAAGGUAGCGUAAUCAUUAGUCUUUUAAUUAAGGUCUAGUAUGAAGGAAGGAACGACAGGGGUAUAUUGGAUAUGUAAAUCUAUUAAAUUUAUAUUUAUUGUGAAAAUACAUUAUUUGAGGUUAAAGACGGAAAGACCCUGGAAGUUUUAUAAGAGUUAUUUCAUUGGGGUAAUGGCUGUAGAAGGGUUUAUAGUGAUAUUGAAAAAUUACUCCAGGGGUAACAGGACAAUCAUAAAAGUUAGUUCAUAUAUAUUUUAAGGAUUGUUACCUCGAGGUUGGAUCAUCUCUUAAUAGGAGGAAUUCUAUGAAAAGGUCUGUUCGACCUAUGUGAGUUACGUGAUCUGAGUUC